rnacentral:RNase_P_RNA from 2 species
GAGAGUAGGUGAGGUGGUUGCGAAUUCGCUCGUCGAAUUCGAGGAAAGUCCGGGCUUCCCAAAGACCAAACUUGCUGGGUAAUUCCCAGUGCGAGCGAUCGUGAGGAUAGUGCCACAGAAAAAUACCGCCAGAAUUAGGUUUUAGGCUUUAGGUGUUAGGUAUUAGGUUUUAGAUGUUAGGGAGAAUUCCCGAUUUCUUGUUCCUUAAAGCCUAAAGCCUAAAGCCUAACUCCUAGAUUGGUAAGGGUGCAAAGGUGCGGUAAGAGCGCACCAGCAGUAUCGAGAGGUACUGGCUCGGUAAACCCCGGUUGGAAGCAAGGCAGGAGCAAAGGUUGGUCUUUUCCCCGUUCCGUUACGAUCCGCUUGAGGUACUUGGUAACAAACUACCCAGAUAGAUAACCGCCGUCUCGCAAGAGAUAACAGAACCCGGCUUACGUCCGACUCUCUUUC